rnacentral:rRNA from 1 species
UACGAAGGGGGCGAGCGUUGUUCGGAAUUACUGGGCGUAAAGGGCGCGUAGGCGGUCCUUCAAGUCAGGCGUGAAAGCCCCGGGCUCAACCUGGGAACCGCGCUUGAGACUGGCGGACUCGAGUUCGGGAGAGGAUGGUGGAAUUCCCAGUGUAGAGGUGAAAUUCGUAGAUAUUGGGAAGAACACCGAUGGCGAAGGCAGCCAUCUGGACCGACACUGACGCUGAGGCGCGAAAGCGCGGGGAGCAAACAGG